rnacentral:rRNA from 1 species
GACAGAGGGUGCAAACGUUGCUCGGAUUUACUGGGCGUAAAGGGCUCGUAGGCGGCCAACUAAGUCAGACGUGAAAUCCCUCGGCUUAACCGGGGAACUGCGUCUGAUACUGGAUGGCUCGAGUUUGGGAGAGGGAUGCGGAAUUCCAGGUGUAGCGGUGAAAUGCGUAGAUAUCUGGAGGAACACCGGUGGCGAAGGCGGCAUCCUGGACCAACACUGACGCUGAUGAGCGAAAGCCAGGGGAGCAAACGGG